UGGGGAAUUUUGGACAAUGGGCGCAAGCCUGAUCCAGCAAUGCCGCGUGCAGGAUGAAGGCCUUCGGGUUGUAAACUGCUUUUGUACGGAACGAAAAGCCUCUCUCUAAUACAGGGGGUGAUGACGGUACCGUAAGAAUAAGCACCGGCUAACUACGUGCCAGCAGCCGCGGUAAUACGUAGGGUGCAAGCGUUAAUCGGAAUUACUGGGCGUAAAGCGUGCGCAGGCGGUUUUGUAAGACAGUGGUGAAAUCCCCGGGCUCAACCUGGGAACUGCCAUUGUGACUGCAAGGCUGGAGUGCGGCAGAGGGGGAUGGAAUUCCGCGUGUAGCAGUAAAAUGCGUAGAUAUGCGGAGGAACACCGAUGGCGAAGGCAAUCCCCUGGGCCUGCACUGACGCUCAUGCACGAAAGCGUGGGGAGCAAACAGGAUUAGAUACCCUGGUAGUCCACGCCCUAAAACGAUGUCAACUGGUUGUUGGGGAUUUAUUUCUUCAGUAACGAAGCUAACGCGUGAAGUUGACCGCCUGGGGGAGUACGGCCGCAAGGUUAAAAACUCAAAAUGAAUUGACGGGGUCAUAGCUGUUUCCU
rnacentral:rRNA from 1 species